AGCCUGGUGGAAUGAUUUCCGUGUCAGACUACAACUCUGAAGACUAGGGUUCAAAUCCCAGCUGGGCCA